UACAGAGGGUGCGAGCGUUAAUCGGAAUUACUGGGCGUAAAGCGUGCGUAGACGGCUAUCUAAGUCGGGUGUGAAAGCCCCGGGCUCAACCUGGGAAUUGCAUUCGAGACUGAAUAGCUAGGGUACGGUAGAGGGAAGCGGAAUUUCCGGUGUAGCGGUGAAAUGCGUAGAUAUCGGAAGGAACAUCAGUGGCGAAAGCGGCUUCCUGGACCAGUACCGACGUUCAGGCCCGAAAGCGUGGGGAGCAAACAGG
rnacentral:rRNA from 1 species